AGCAUGUGGUUUAAUUCGAUGCAACGCGAAGAACCUUACCUGGGCUUGACAUCCCGGGAAUCCCUUGGAAACAAGGGAGUGCCCUUCGGGGAACCUGGAGACAGGUGCUGCAUGGCUGUCGUCAGCUCGUGUCGUGAGAUGUAGGGUUAAGUCCCGCAACGAGCGCAACCCUUGUCUUUAAUUGCCAUCAUUGAGUUGGGCACUUUAAAGAGACUGCCGGUGUUAAACCGGAGGAAGUGGGGAUGACGUCAAGUCCUCAUGGCCCUUAUGGGUAGGGCUUCACACGUCAUACAAUGGUCGGUACAGAGGGUUGCCAACCCGCGAGGGGGAGCUAAUCCCACAAAGCCGAUCGUAGUCCGGAUCGCAGUCUGCAACUCGACUGCGUGAAGUCGGAAUCGCUAGUAAUCGCAGGUCAGCAUACUGCGGUGAAUACGUUCCCGGGUCUU
rnacentral:rRNA from 1 species